AUGAGGGCACCGUAGUCUAGAACAUGAGGGCGCCAUAGUCUAGAACAUGGGGGUCCGUUGUAGUCCGGAACAUGAGGUCUCUGUAGUCUAGAACACAAGAGGGCGCUGUGGUCUGGAACAUGAGGGUGCUGUAGUCUAGAACACGAGGUCACUACAACAAAACUAGUCACUGGAGACACUUUGAACACGGGCAUUUGGAGUGGAAACGUAUUCCAAGGUUAUUGUAAGUCAUUGCAGAAGAAAACAGACCAAUUUUCCUAUGAGUAAAAUCCUGAAAAGAAAUAAAAUUCAAAGCAAACCUAAUGGAGACAUCAUGGCACGUGUGAGGACGGACGGCGAGCCAGUGCUGGCAUUCUCAAAGCCUCGCUGACCCAGGGAAGACCUGGGUUUUCAUUUCUGUUUUGAGUGAGGCAGAGAGACUCAGCUCAGACUGAACUCAUCAAGGCUGGGGUGUCAACAAGGCCAUGGUUUUGCCUGUGUCCAAAGCACCCCGGAGGCAGAAGCAGUAGGACCAGGAGCUCAAGGCCAGUCUGGCUUCAUAUGCAGAUCUUGUCUCCAUCAAUAUAAAGUCAUCAAUGCAAAUAAAUGUAUAAAGCUAUGUUGAGCUAA